AUUAUGGCUCCCCCUGCCCUCAGGGAUUGUCGGCUGAUAUCUGUCUAUGAGAGCAAAGAGAAAAGAGUCAACAGAUGAGGGCUGUGUUUGGAAGCCCUGUGAGUAGGUAUGGUGAAGAAGAGACACCGGGACCAGCUGCAGGGAGACAAAUUCACUUUAUUUGGGUUUUUAAGGCUUAUAUAACUUGGGGGGUUUGGAGGUGGUGGGGGUAGAAAUAUCCAGGAUGGGCAAAGACUUAGGCUAUAAGCAUUAGCAUGGCAAAGCAUUUCAGGAAUCUCAGGUGCUAGCUGAAUGGAUUCUUACUGGGAGAAAAGAAGUUGAACCUGUAAUUUAACUAAGGUUAUGUGCCAUUCUGCAUGUAGAGGCAAUGUGGGGACUUUUUGAACUCCCCAGUAAAGGUCAAUGAAGUGUGUCCUCCAGAUAGCACUGAGCUCUGGAAGGCUAGCUAUCCAGACAAUGGCAGACUUCCCCCUUAAUUAGCAGGGUUUUCUCACAGGAUAUCACAGAUGUAAAAGCCCCAUCUGCUCAGAGACAACCUGCUACUCUAAAGUAUGCCUGUGAACCAGUGAUCCCCUUUUCCUUGGUUCUCACUACUUCUUUAGCAAGGAGUAAAAUUUACCCAAAACAAACAAACAAACAAACAAACAGAAAACAACAAAAAUGGAAAAUAAUCUAGGAGGACCUUCUAAACCAGUUUCAGAAGAAAUAACAAAGUUCAAAAUAGGCCCUAAGUGGUAGCCCCACGAGAGCCUGUACUCCCCGCUGCCACAGUCCUGGGUCUUAGCUUCAGCUCUUCUAAAUCUCUCUGAAUAGGAAACCAGCACAAGGUGGUAAACACAGUGCCAGGAGAGUCACGUUCGUAAUGAUGAUAAAAAGUCCAUACCGACUUUGACACACAGCUGAGACACUGUUUAUUGAGGCAGUGUGAACUCAGGAUGGGGGCAGAUACUUUCCAAUUUCUGGAACAAAACAUUGAGCCUUUGAUGUUGGCAUAUUGGCUUCUUUCUUUGGGGUGAAUUCUGGGUAGGUUUUGUUUUGCUUGUUCGAUUUUUCUGCAAGCGUUUUGUGCUUCAGAUUAAUAUGACAACCGAAGUUUGUGUUAUUGGAAGAGAUUCUGGCUCUCUGUGCCCAGCAUUUGACUACUGAGUAUAUCAUUAAGUGAAUUUG
rnacentral:lncRNA from 1 species